rnacentral:rRNA from 1 species
CACGUAGGGCGCAAGCGUUGUCCGGAAUUAUUGGGCGUAAAGAGCUCGUAGGCGGUCUGUUACGUCUGCUGUGAAAACCCUGGGCUUAACCCUGGGCUUGCAGUGGAUACGGGCAGACUAGAGGCAGGUAGGGGAGAAUGGAAUUCCCGGUGUAGCGGUGAAAUGCGUAGAUAUCGUAAGGAAGACCAGUGGCGAAGGCGGGUCUCUGGACAGUUCCUGACGCUGAGGCACGAAGGUCAGGGGAGCAAACGGG